UACAGAGGUCUCAAGCGUUGUUCGGAUUUAUUGGGCGUAAAGGGCGCGUAGGCGGCGGGGUAAGUCAGGUGUGAAAUCUCAGGGCUCAACCCUGAAACUGCACUUGAUACUGCUCUGCUUGAGGACUGGAGAGGAGACUGGAAUUCACGGUGUAGCAGUGAAAUGCGUAGAUAUCGUGAGGAAGACCAGUGGCGAAGGCGGGUCUCUGGACAGUUCCUGACGCUGAGGCGCGAAGGCCAGGGGAGCCAAAGCGGG
rnacentral:rRNA from 1 species